rnacentral:rRNA from 1 species
ACAACCGGGAUUGCCUCAGUAACGGCGAGUGAAGCGGCAAGAGCUCAAAUUUGAAAUCUGGCCCCCCCGGGGUCCGAGUUGUAAUUUGGAGAGGAUGCUUCGGGCACGGUCCCCAUCUAAGUGCCCCUGGAACGGGCUGUCAUAGAGGGUGAGAACCCCGUAUGGGAUGGGCGGCCGCGCCCGUGUGAAGCUCCUUCGACGAGUCGAGUUGUUUGGGAAUGCAGCUCUAAGCGGGUGGUAAAUUUCAUCUAAAGCUAAAUACUGGCCGGAGACCGAUAGCGCACAAGUAGAGUGAUCGAAAGAUGAAAAGCACUUUGAAAAGAGAGUUAAACAGCACGUGAAAUUGUUGAAAGGGAAGCGUUGGCCACCAGACGCGCCCGGGAGGGUUCAGCCGGCACCUGUGCCGGCGUACUCCCCCCCGGGCGGGUCAGCAUCGGUUUGGACGGUCGCAGAAAGGCUCCGGGAAUGUAGCACCCUCCGGGGUGCCUUAUAGCCCGGAGCGUCAUGCGGCCCGCCUGGACCGAGGCCCGCGCUUCGGCGAGGAUGCUGGCGUAAUGGUGGUCAACGGCCCGUCUUGAAACACGGACCAAGGAGUCUAACAUCUAUGCGAGUGUUCGGGUGUCAAACCCGUCCGCGCAGUGAAAGCGAACGCAGGUGGGAACCCCCCUUCCGGGGGGCGCACCAUCGACCGAUCCUGAUGUCCUCGGAUGGAUUUGAGUAAGAGCAUAGCUGUUGGGACCCGAAAGAUGGUGAACUAUGCCUGAAUAGGGCGAAGCCAGAGGAAACUCUGGUGGAGGCUCGCAGCGGUUCUGACGUGCAAAUCGAUCGUCAAAUUUGGGUAUAGGGGCGAAAGACUAAUCGAACCAUCUGGUAGCUGGUUCCUGCCGAGUUU